rnacentral:lncRNA from 1 species
UUCGCACAGUUUCUUAUUGAGUUUAGUGCCCACUCUGGCCGGAUAUAGCUUAUGCCUCGAUUCUCUCGAUCCAGUAGAUUACGCUGUUAUUAUGAAACUCUCCUUAAUGACUUAGACACAAGCAACAGGACAAGUAGGGCAGGGCCCGGCCGACGUAAAGAACUUAUUGCGCCGAGUCAAACACUAUAAGAUUGCUCAGCUC